AGCAUGUUCAUUGUUCCUUGUUUAAGUGUUAAGCUCUCUUCUUUGCACCAACCUUUUUCCUUUUCUUCUUCAUGUAAUGAUUGAAAUUCCGUAAGGACGGAGCAAGUUUGAUGGCGCACGAGAGAUCUUUUUCAGAAGUGAAAAGUGAAAACCCCUGGCGCAUGUUAGUAGGGUCCUUUUGAUAGAAAAGAAAAAGAGAAGAUAGAGAAAAGAGACCCAUGCUCAAAAGUAUUAUCAUGCGCCAUUUUAAAUGGUCCUAAGUCCCAUCUCUAACCGAUUCUC